rnacentral:rRNA from 1 species
GUUCGCCGCCCUUCGCCCCACCACCCCCCUCCUACCGGAGCCGCCCCCGCUGGAUCCGCCCUUCGCCGCACCCCGUUGGAGCCGCCCCCUGCCGCGUUGGAUCCGCCCUUCGCCGCCCCCCCUCCCCCGUGCCGCUGGAGCCGCCGUCGGAGCUGCCCUUCGCCGCAGGCCGCCGCCGAGCCGCUCGCCGCUGUUCCUCUUCUGCUUCACGUGAGACUACAGGUGCACGGGCGGGAGGAUUUCCCUAGCCCUACCCCGUCCUCUCAUCUCUCGAUCUGAUUGAAGCCACGGCCCGGGAAUGGCAGCUGAGUCGUCGGCGGUGGCCGGCAUGCGGAAGGCGCCCUCCAUUGAGUGGCGGUGGGUGUCCGCGGGGGAGGAGGAGGACGACAAGCUGGAGGGCCCGCGGCCGUCGGGGCGGCGGGAAGGGGAUGCAGCUUCGAGUCCGAGGACGAGGAGGACAACGUCGACUACGAGGACGAGGACGAGGAGCACUGGGAGGCCAGGAAACUCCUGUCACGCACGGCCACCGCCCAACUGCCUCGCGGCCACCCCCGUCCGCUGGUGGCGAUCUUUGUGCCUCCAACCGAUGGCGAUGAACCAUGCCUUUUUCAUGACGAUAUUGGAUCUGAGUUCGUGAAGGAGGAGCAAAUGGAUAUUUGGAUUUGUGUUGCUCCUUAUGAAUAUAUGUACAAACAUGUUUUCUUCAGGUUAUUACGCUUAACAGUGAUGAUCUAAUCUUAGAAGAUUUAAGUUCAUGAAGGAUAAUAAAAUUUGCGGCGUACCUGUAGCAGAAGGUCCUAAAAGGAAACUUUUGGUAGUGUGAGCAUAGGGAUAUUUGUUACCGUCUUGAAGUUCAUGAAGGCUUACUCUUACUGAUUCAGGGGGCACCUGCAUUAUUCGGUAUUUUGGUACAACUUAAGUAUAGGAUAUGCACCUUCCAUUUGUCUAUGCAUAAUUUUUCUGCUCAUGCAUGGUGCAUACUUUUGACUUACAUAUGAUGUAUUCAGCGAUGUCAUUGGUGACUCAUGUGAAGUUGAUGUUUUUGAUUCAGGUGCAAUGACACCGUGGCAGCCAUGGAGAAUAUAUGCAUGAAGCCGUGAGCAGUAAGCAGCUUAGCUAUUUAUUAUUGUUGGCCUUUUGAGUUUGAUAGUAUUGCUGGAUUACCUGCAUAUUAGAUGAUGAGUAGCUUGAGAAAAGCAAACCUUAUCAUUUCUAAAAUGUGCUGUUUUUUAGCAUAAUUAAUCGUCGUGUGCUUAUACCAAUUAUACACUGCUAGAUAGACAUGCAUAAGUAUGCAGGUUGACGCAUAAGUCAUUUUACAGUAUGAUGAUGGUGACAAUCAACUGAGCUUCAACAACUUAUAACUGCAUGGCGAGUGGUCGAAUGCAUGCCUCCCCACACCUCUGUCGAUCCUUUUUUUCUGGUAUAAACAGAAUCUCAUUGUGCCAUCUCACAUUGCCAAUAUAUGCCCAGCACCUCAAAGUAGUAUUAUAGCCUCUAUCACUCAUAUAACCUGAUACAAUUUGUCUCCUAUCAUUUCAAAUGUGAUUGCCUUCUAUUCCGCAUUAUUUAAAGUUGUUGCCGAAACCUUCUCCAUGCAGUGCCUUCCCUCAUCAUAUGAGCUGCUAGCCCGCGCGCACUAGCUAAUUUUUGUUCACCCUUUCUUCCCUAUAAUCUUUCUCUCCGCUUUUACUUCGCGAUCCUGUAGCUGUAUAUUAGGAUGAUAUGCUGAGCACAUAUAAGAUCGUCACAAGCAAGAUAGCUGGACUAUGGAGUGCCUAGGGCAGUGGUAAUUCAUAAAUUGCAUGAUGUUUAAUGGGAAGCAUCUGAGAGUACCAAUGUCCAGUAGUAAGAUCUGAUUUUAUAGGUGAUCAAGCCAAUAUAAGUGUACGUGCAUCCCCUUUUAGUACAGAUUUAUAAAAAAAAUAUGAUAUAUGCUAUGAUAUUUUCCAGAACAGUUUGGCCCUUGAUCUUGAGGCACUCAUGUGUAUUGCUUUUCUUCCUAGAGAAAUACAUGUCUAUUGAUUAUUAUUGGAAUUGGUUUGAAGAAACAGAGUAUGAUCUUCUUUCACAAGUAGUGAUCAUAAAACAACAGGGAGAGGCGUUUUAGCUCCCGGAGGGUGUUUCAGCGGUGUGCUCGAGGACGAGCGUUGACAGCGCGGGUGUCCGAUUUCCAGCGGCGCAGACAUGGCGAUGGAUUUCUCCAUCUCUCCGGUAGACAGGUUGCCCAUCUUCCCGGAUGAGGCGGCUAGCGCGGUGGCCCUAAUGGAUUUGAUUGGUGGCGAAGAGGAAUCCGCCAAUGGAUCUUGUGGGGCUGUUGUCGCCGGAUUUGCGCAUGGCUCAUCUGGGCAGUUCGUACGUGGUGUUGUGUGCAGCAAGGAGAGGACUGUAGCUACCGGUGGAGCCGCCAUGUCCGGUUUCAGUGAGAGCGAGGGUGACAACGCAGAUGCAAUUGACCAAGCCAAUGACCAAAGCACAUAUUGAUGAACACCAAGAGGCUGUGAUUCAAGAUCGAACUGAAAGUGGUGAUGGAGGGUCUGCUCAAUCUACUACUUGCAAGGUGGAUCCGCAAGCCCCUGGGUGGACUUAGAGAGUAAGAGUCGGGAAUCAGCCAACGGAUAGAGCCCCAUGCCCAGAAAGAUUAGGCGCGCUGGAGGAGACAAUUCGAGGGCAUGCAGAUAAAUUGGGGGACCAUGUAGUUGAGCCUGCUAUUGGCUUAACAUUCGACUCCUUGGGUGAAGCAUAUGAUUUUUGCAACCUUUAUUCGUGGGAGCAUGGUUUCGGUAUCAGGACACCCUGUCCCAGCGGGCUCGGCACAUUCUCCGCUCCGCUGAAAUUACAGGACACCCUGUCCCAGCAGGCUCGACACUCUCCGCUCCGCUGAAAUUACAGGACCGGACACUAUGUCUGGAAAGAAUUGGUGCACUGGAGCAAAUGAUUUAGGGGUAUACAGAUUAGUUGGGUGAGCACGGUGCUAUUGGGCUAACACUAGACUCUAUGUAAGAAACCUAUGAUUUUUACAAUCUUUAUUCAUGGAAGCAUGGUUUCGCCAUUAGAUAUUAUGGGAAAAGUAGGCUUAAUGUCGGGAAGACAAAAUGUAUGAAGGAAGUUGUCUGCGGAUGGUUGGGAGAGGAGAGUGGCGCAGCAGUGGUGGCAGGAGGAAGAAGAUUGCUCCAUCCAUCAGUUGGCCGAGCUCCGGCGUCCUCACGUCAGGCUUGGCUUGGAGUAUUGACAAUGAAGCAUUCUACAUGGUAUGCAUCCAGAUCCGCUUCAUCUGCUAGACGCUAAAUCGAGUCAAUGGACCAGUUGGCUAGAAUUAGAAAUUAACUGCGUGUAUUUUGUGUUUGCGCCUCCGUGUAUUUUGCUGGACGCUUAGUGUGUUCAUCGCUGGGAGGAACUAUCUCUAAAUUAGUUGUUAUUAUUGCAGUGUAGUAGCCAACGUGCGUGUGGACUAAUGUUUAAUUAUGUGAGAUUACCCCAAAAUGCUUGAUGCUGUUAAGCUGCAAAAUGCACCUUCGUAGAUAGACUGAGAACCUGACAACCAACGUUUUUCCAGCAUUUUAUUUGCC